rnacentral:rRNA from 1 species
AGAGUUUGAUCCUGGCUCAGGAUAAACGCUGGCGGCGUGCCUAACACAUGCAAGUCGAACGUUCUCUUGUUUUUCGGAACGAGAGGGAGUGGCGGACGGGUGAGUAACACAUGGGUGACCUGCCCUGAAGUGAGGGAUACCGGCGAGAAAUCGCCGACAAGCCCGCAUAGGGUCUCUGUCGUAGGAGAGAGAGCAAAGGUCCUUUUCGGAGGGCUGCUUUGGGAUGGGCCUGUGGCCGAUUAGCUAGUUGGUGGGGUAAGAGCCUACCAAGGCGACGAUCGGUAGCUGGUCUGAGAGGACGAUCAGCCACACUGGGAUUGAGAACGGCCCAGACUCCUACGGGGGGCAGCAGUGAGGAAUUUUCCGCAAUGGAGGAAACUCUGACGGAGCAACGCCGCGUGCAGGAGGACGCUUUUCGGAGUGUAAACUGCUUUUCUGUGGGAAGAGGUAGGACGGUACCACAGGAAGAAGCCCCGGCUAACUACGUGCCAGCAGCCGCGGUAAUACGUAGGGGGCGAGCGUUGUCCGGAGUUACUGGGCGUAAAGGGCAUGCAGGCGGUCGUACGCGUUUUGUGUGACAGCGGGUGGCUUAACUACCCGAGUAUGCGAAAGACGGUAUGACUUGAGGGCUCGAGAGGGACACGGAAUUCCGGGUGGAGUGGUGAAAUGCGUAGAGAUCCGGAGGAACACCGAAGGCGAAGGCAGUGUCCUGGCGAGUGACUGACGCUGAGGUGCGAAAGCUAGGGGAGCGAACGGGAUUAGAUACCCCGGUAGUCC